GGUUUCUGUGCUCUGGUCUUGUAGCUGGUGGCCUGGGAGAUGCUUUGGGUGCUGGAAGCUAAGGCUGCUCCUGGAAUCUCUGUGGGUAUAUGAAAAUAUUUUUCCUGCAGAAAACAGCGGCAGAAUACAAAUCAACCCACCCCAUGCACAGACGGCUGGGAUCCUUUGAGACUCUUGUUUUAUGGAUGAAAUAAAUUCAGCCAAUGGGGAAUGGAAGGCACAGUAAGUGUAAAAAAAAAAAAAAAAAAAACCCUUCUGAAUAUUUUUUUUCUCCAGUCAAUAGCUUACACAACAGACAUGUGAAGGGAGAUGCUACCUGGCUCGGUGGUGGUGGUCACAGCUUUCCUGUUAUCGGAAGAAAUGUACGGAUAGGUUCCCUCCAAGGCAAGGCCUUCCUGGAGAGCAUAAAUAAUACAUAGCAAUAGCAAUAUUGGUUUUAUUUGGAAAAAAAAGAAAAAAGAAAUGGAAUCUGCCUUGGAGACAGCCAGGCUGGAGGCAGCCACAGUGAAGAUGAGGGUGAUGCACCACAAUGAAGACUUCGUGUUACGUAGUGAGGACCACAAAGCGGCCACACCAUCCUCGUCCAGAUGUGCUGGAGGAACACCAGUAAGUAAAUGCACGUGGAUGCGUGACCUUUUAGACAAGCAAAAAUAAGCAAAUGUCCUUUGUGAAACGGGAGGCAUAACACAAACACAGCCCCGAGCUGCCCACAAUGUCUUUGCAGUGACUCAGCACCGAAACUGAGCCUUUCUGACCAGAUAGCUCAGUCUCCUGUGACUCAUCCCCAAAACAACAGUGAGGCUGCCAAGAUGCAAUGGGGCAUUGCGACAAAGGUUCCAGGCAGCAGUGAGGAGUAUGAGACCAAUCCAUCCUCUCUGUAGAGGGAAAGGCAGCAAUUUUAGGUCACCAAAACUAACGUGGGCUGCAUACACACUUGGAAAAGAGUGUGUCUUUAUUCCUGUGGGGCUGCUGCAAUGGUCAACCAGGGCUAAGUGCAGCUAGCUAGUAAUUUAGGGCACUAGGGCACCUGAUAAAGGUGACAGGGUAUGGAUUCAGAGCCCUGGAGGUUGACAGCAAUGUCCUCAAUCUUUUUAACUGCAUAAAUAAGUAAACAGACAAUACUUUCCUCCAGAACUGAAUGGGCAUUUUCAACACAUGGUCAAGGAACAGACCCCCUCUCAAGGUUACUUCCCAUCCACACGUUCAGGACUCCCAGGCAGCACAGGAUCCUGCUCCUCAUGUCUCUGCAGCUUCUCUUCCACCUCUGUUGCCAUAAGGCAGCUGUGAGCACUAAGUGAUGUUCUGCACCACUGGUCUAAGCAUGAGCAAUGUGGAUUUGCCUGUCCUUAGCAACCGGAGAUGUGGGGUCUGACUUCAGUCAAUUGAUUUUUGACGAGGAUCGCAGCCACUUUGCCUGGCU
rnacentral:lncRNA from 7 species